rnacentral:lncRNA from 1 species
UUCGAUCUAGCCACAGUAGCAGCGAGCGAUCGACGGUGGAAGUCUCCGGUGAUAGUUUCUGAGUUUCGUCUGUGGCGGCAAUCGUAAAUUAAGGGUAAUUCAGACAUUUUCUAACAUCAAGGAAAUUAUGCGAGUUCGUUAUCUCCUGCAUCCCGAGUAGUAAUGCUCGAAACAUAGAUGAUAUUGAAUUUGAAGAUGCUGAGGUCAAUGCUGGUCAUGAUGCUGCAUAGCAAUAUAGGAAUCCGACAUCAGACAACCACGUUCUGUUAGAUGAUCAGACCAGUAAGUUGUCAAUUAAAUGGUUUCAAUU